GUUCCUACGGGACGCAGCAGUGAGGAAUAUUGGUCAAUGGCCGGAAGGCUGAACCAGCCAAGUCGCGUGAAGGAAUAAGGCCCUAUGGGUCGUAAACCUCUUUUGUCAGGGAGCAAAGGCGUCCACGUGUGGACGAGAGGAGAGUACCUGAAGAAAAAGCAUCGGCUAACUCCGUGCCAGCAGCCGCGGUAAUACGUAGGUGGCAAGCGUUGUCCGGAUUUAUUGGGCGUAAAGCGAGUGCAGGCGGUUCAAUAAGUCUGAUGUGAAAGCCUUCGGCUCAACCGGAGAAUUGCAUCAGAAAAAUU
rnacentral:rRNA from 1 species